rnacentral:rRNA from 1 species
UACGGGAGGCGACAGUAGGGAAUUUUCCGCAAUGGGCGAAAGUCUGACGGAGCAACGCCGCGUGAGUGAGGACGGCCUUCGGAUUGUAAAACUCUGUUCUACUCGGAAGAGCAUCCUAGAGCUGAAUAGGUUCUAAGAUCCGACGGUACGAGAGGAGAAAGCCCCGGCUAACUACGUGCCAGCAGCCGCGGUUAUA